GAUGAACGCUGGCGGCGUGCCUAAUACAUGCAAGUCGAGCGAACAGACGAGGAGUUUGCUCCUCUGACGUUAGCGGCGGACGGGUGAGUAACACGUGGAUAACCUACCUAUAAGACUGGGAUAACUUCGGGAAACCGGAGCUAAUACCGGAUAAUAUAUUGAACCGCAUGGUUCAAUAGUGAAUGACGGUUUUGCUGUCACUUAUAGAUGGAUCCGCGCCGCAUUAGCUAGUUGGUAAGGUAACGGCUUACCAAGGCAACGAUGCGUAGCCGACCUGAGAGGGUGAUCGGCCACACUGGAACUGAGACACGGUCCAGGCUCCUACGGGAGGCAGCAGUAGGGAAUCUUCCGCAAUGGGCGAAAGCUUGACGGAGCAACGCCGCGUGAGUGAUGAAGGUCUUCGGAUCGUAAAACUCUGUUAUUAGGGAAGAACAAAUGUGUAAGUAAGUAUGCACGUCUUGACGGUACCUAAUCAGAAAGCCACGGCUAACUACGUG
rnacentral:rRNA from 1 species